AUGGCGCUCGGCCUCACACAGCUUCUUCAGAGCCAUGAUCGUUCGAAGAUUCAACAAUUUCCGGCCUCGUCUCCAUCCGACGUCGUCGUCCUGGCCUUGGAUCUGUCGGGUCCCGACCUUCCUGUCGUUGUCGGACCUCGUCUGCUCGCCAGGGUUGACUCAGGCGCGAGCCCCCUCCUAGACCUGGUGCUCCCUCGUACCUGCAAGGCGUCGCCCCCUGAACCUGUCAAUUUCCUCUUCUGCAACGAGUCGGAGCUCUCUUCUCGCUUAUCCGCUUCGACCUACCCUGUUCCAUUCGUCACUCUCGGCUAG
rnacentral:rRNA from 1 species